AGGAAGAUGGGGCUGGGGAAUUCUUUUUGGUUUUCUGGUUUUGUUUUGCUCUGGUUUUGGUCGGGGUUUUGUAUUUUCCUAUUCUUCCUUGGUUUUAUUUUUUCCUUUUUUUCCUUUUUUUUUCUUUUUCUUUCCUGUCAUUCUCCCAGCCAAAAGCCGCCUUCGACCCUUUUGAUUUGAUGUAGCAAAGAGUGUGUGUCCAGAUUAUCUGAAAUAGACACUGAAGAAGCAGCAGCUCCUGCCUGCAGAUUUACUCUUCUGAUUAAAGGCAUGAGGCUGUGCGCAGAAACAUUUCAUGCAGCAUGUUAGUUGGAGCAAAAGAGAAAAACAAAAGAAAGAGGAAA
rnacentral:lncRNA from 1 species